AUUUCUAUUUAUAUAGUUUAAAAAAAAACAUUACAUUUUCAUUGUAAAAUUAAUAAUUUUUAUAA
rnacentral:tRNA from 1 species